AGGACGAACGCUGGCGGCGUGCUUAACACAUGCAAGUCGAGCGGUAAGGCCUUUCGGGGUACACGAGCGGCGAACGGGUGAGUAACACGUGGGUGAUCUGCCCUGCACUCUGGGAUAAGCCUGGGAAACUGGGUCUAAUACCGGAUAUGACCUGCUCUCGCAUGGGGGUGGGUGGAAAGAUUUAUCGGUGCAGGAUGGGCCCGCGGCCUAUCAGCUUGUUGGUGGGGUAAUGGCCUACCAAGGCGACGACGGGGUAGCCGACCUGAGAGGGGUCACCGGGCC
rnacentral:rRNA from 1 species